UACAGAGGUCUCAAGCGUUGUUCGGAUUCAUUGGGCGUAAAGAGCUCGUAGGCGGUUUGUCGCGUCUGCUGUGAAAUUUCGGGGCUCAACCCCGAACUUGCAGUGGGUACGGGCAGACUAGAGUGUGGUAGGGGAGACUGGAAUUCCUGGUGUAGCGGUGAAAUGCGCAGAUAUCAGGAGGAACACCGAUGGCGAAGGCAGGUCUCUGGGCCACUACUGACGCUGAGGCGCGAAAGCGUGGGGAGCAAACAGG
rnacentral:rRNA from 1 species